rnacentral:rRNA from 1 species
UAGGGAAUCUUCCACAAUGGACGCAAGUCUGAUGGAGCAACGCCGCGUGAGUGAAGAAGGUCUUCGGAUCGUAAGACUCUGUUGUUAGAGAAGAACACGAGUGAGAGUAACUGUUCAUUCGAUGACGGUAUCUAACCAGCAAGUCACGGCUAACUACGUGCCAG